rnacentral:rRNA from 1 species
CCCUUAGAUGUUCUGGGCGGCCCGCGCACUACAUUGGCACUGGCAACAAGAUCCUAGAUCUGGUAUUUCGGGGUAUUCUACCAACUGGUGUCGUGACUGGGAUUAACCCCUGCAAUUAUUGGUUAUGAACGAGGAAUGCCUUGUAAUCACGGUUUAUCAACCCGUGUUGAAUGCGUCCCUGCCCUUUGUACACACCGCCCGUCGCUCCUACCGAUGAAUCGUCCGGUGAAGUUCAUGGAGUCGCGGCUGCUCCAGCUGUUUUCGAAGUGAAAUGGACCUCAUGAUUUAGAGGAAGGAGAANUCGUAACA